GCUUAAUUUGACUCAACACAGGAAACCUCACCCGGCCUGGACACGGAAAGGAUUGACAGAUUGAUAGCUCUUUCUCGAUUCUGUGGGUGGUGGUGCAUGGCCAUUCUAAGUUAGUGGACUGGUUCAUUCCGAUAACGAACGAGACUCCGGCAUGGUGAGUUAUCAAAAAAGCUACCAUCAAACAGGCACUCCAAGCACAUGUGCAAUAAAAUAAUUGUCAAAUUUGAAUAGUAUGACCACAUGUGUGUAUUUAUUUUCAUUUUUAUACUCUAAAGUGUCAAAGUACUCA
rfam:Danio rerio chromosome 16, GRCz11 reference primary assembly.